CCUUUCUCCUCUCCGGUUCCUGAUUUAGCUGGGAGCUGUUUAUUUAUGGCUGCAAAUGUGUGUGUUCAAGAGAGAGAGGGAAUUGAUCUUUGCCUGGACUUAAAGAUGGAGCCGAAGAAGCUGGAGGGAAUUUGGGCUUGUGCGUCUGGCCCAGACCCUGUGCGCCGAGCCCGAGGUCUAUCCUCCCCGCACCUCUCACCUCGCGACCUUGCAGGAAUCCGCGGGCCCGGAUGCUGCCCAGCUGACCCUCCUGCCCCGGGCCUGGCUGCAGAGAAAGUCUUCGGGCAGGAGGCCAUCCUGUUCCUGUCUUUAAAAUGAGCACAAUAAAAGGUAUCACCUGCGACGUGUGCUGAUUACUUUUUUUUUUUUUUUUUACCUGUGCACGGGGCGUGUUGUGGGGGGUGCGGGGUGGCUCACAGGUUCGGGGGGAGGGAGGAAUUAGGGGGCUUGAAAUUCAGUUCCCUGUUUCCCUAUUUAUUUCUCAUUUGAAAUUAUGCAGAUUGACUCUCCUUUCCUUCCCUCCUAGGGGGCAAAUCCUCGAACGCGAACCUGAUCUCAUGUCACAGAAGCAACUUGCCAUGAAAUCCGCUAAUGCGCUGCGACUCGCCCACCAGGGUAAGCCAGUCUCACAAGCGUUUGGGGGGGGUGGUGAGGGGGAAGAAGUAGGGGCGGUAGGCCGGGGCAAGGGCUCCGGGGGCCUGGCCACGCUGGUCCACCGCUGAGCUUGUGGCCAUGCAAACAGGGUGGAAGCCAGGGGCGGAGGGCAGCGGCCGCGUCACGGCCCGGGAGCCGAGCGGGGGCGCCCCCCUCCCAGCCUGCCAGUCCCGCCACGGCAGCUAACAGUUCCUCCCCAUGAGUUUAAAGUAACAAAUGAGAGGGGGGCCCCCGAGCAGGGUGUAAAUAACACGGGCGUGCCCCGAGCUAGUGGCAACUACAGGAGCACGCGUCUGCGGUUUGUGCGCGUUUCUCCCGCCAGGCAGCGUGCGGCGGCCGAACUGCACCUGCGUUUGUGAGCCUUGUAGAAAUGGAGCCCACCGGAUUCCCUCACCCGGAGAAAUGCCCAAACUGAAACUUGACUACACUUCCCUGGGCUGGUUCACGGUUUCAUAAUCUCCCAGGUUUGCUGGCUGUGUCACCAAAUCCAAGCCAAACCUGCUAUAAACAUGAUCACAGGCCACUGACCUCGCAGCACUGACCGAUAACUCGGUGGCAAAAUCAGCUCCUCUGGUCAGAGGUUAUUAAAGCAGCGGCUGA
rnacentral:lncRNA from 1 species